rfam:Equus caballus chromosome 20, whole genome shotgun sequence.
CCAAAGGCUCUUUUAAGAGCCACUCAAGUUUUCACAAUGAGAGCUG